GUUUGCAGUGGUCUGGUAGUACGAGGCUCGGCAGUCAAUGGACAUCUUGCAACCGCGAUUUUGACAUAAACGAAGUGCUCUCUUUUUGCGCACCUUUGGAGCAGUAACCUGCGCCGUUUAUUGAAAGGGGGCCUCAGUUUUUGUCGUCUGCUGAACGUGGUUUUCUCGGCACAAAUCAACUUCAAUAAAUUAGACGACAGGUGCGAUUUAUGCGUCAAUAUUGACACUGUUGCAUGCACUGCAUACAUCAAAUCAUGUACUAUUUAUUGCAAAUUUAUUUCCUGUGUGCAAUUAAUUAAAUAAUAUGCAGAAAAGUGCAAAGUACUCAGGUAAUUUAAUUCUAUUUCACAACUACUAAGUUACUAAAAAGAUUUAUUAACAGAUAAACACUCUAAUAGGGUAGUAUACAAUUAAAAUAACAGCAUAUGAUAUGUGUGUGUACACAAUAUUUACUAAGCAUUAUCUAGUUGGAUAAACACGUACACAAAAUAAUGUACUCUAAUAAUCAUUACUAAUCGGAUCAUUUAAUGUAAACAACAUACUAAUUACUAAUGCAUAGAAUAUGAUGAUGAUGAUGACGACAUAUUGAUAACACUGCUGGUUGUCACACAGCUAUUAUUGAGGUAAUCUAUAUUUAGAGCUAACAUUGGUUUAAAUUAAAUUAUGUUAAUUAAUUUAAGUUAAGUUGAUGGUAUCAGUCAUUGUGUUGUGACACUUAUAGGUGUAUACAUUGGAUAUGCAUUUUGCCAACUGGCAUUAGAUUUCAAACUAGGCAUUGGUUGUUAUAUGGUUGGUGACAUGAAUGACAGUAACUGAGUUACAUAAUUAGUAUACUGUGGUGUGUGUGUGUGUGUGUGUGUGUGUGUGUGUGUGUGUGUGUGUGUGUGUGUGUGUGUGUGUGUGUGUGUGUGUGUGUGUGUGUGUGUGUGUGUGUGUGUAUUCAUAUGGCUGUUUACUCAAUUGGAAAAGUGUCAUCUCAUAGCAUUGGUACAUUCAAGACACAUGAAUGCAUGAACUACUAUCGUCCUAGCAAUGAUGAGAUAGAGGAUAAUUUCUUGGACAAGAAACUCCCAUCUUUGCCUCAUUUGAUUCUAGUGUAUAUAUUGAGUAACUGGUAUUUCAUUGGGGUGGACAAGGUCUGUGACUGUUGUUGUCGACAAGAACUGUCUGGCUUGCUGCAUUCUGGGUGUUCUGACCAUUACUAAUGGCCAUGUGAAAAAUGUGAGAGCGUUACCUGGGCCAUCAAGCUACACCUGGUACUGAAAUAAUCCAGGUAGCCAAGCAUGGUGUUUGUCCUUUUGUUGGCUAUGUCACAUUACUGGUUGAUGACACUUGAAAGACACCAUGUAUUUGAGACAAUAGCAAAAUCAACAUGGUCCUUAAUACUUCUAAAAUGAUCUGUUGCCAGCCAGCUGACAGUUGUUUGGCUGAAAUUCUUUGUCAACAUUAUUAAUUAACAAGGAGUUGAUGUCUGCUACUUGUUAUGAGUUCAUUUGAAGCCAUGCUCUAACUAGAAGAAGGAGUCAUGAUCAGUGAAACCUGCACUGCCUCUCUCCCUGCAUUCAACACAGUCCACAUCACGUUUACCACGGCCUUCCUCAAGUUUACAAUCACCUAUUUCAGACACAACAUUGUCACCAUCAACUUCGUCAUCGCCUGCACCACCUGCUGGUGUACGUCAGCCUCUAUCUCCAGCCGCUGGCUCCAGUAACUGCCCUGCUGCCAGACCUAGUGCUGUUUAAGCUUGUGCUGCAGUUCAAUCUGCUGUUGAACGUGGUCUCGUUCAGCUCGUUUCUUCUAUGCAAACUGUUCCUGAUGUUCGACCUUCUCAACCUGCAGCACAAGCUACCAACUCAAUAACUGAUGCCCCGGCAUCAUACCAAGUUUGAUGGAACCAAGUUGACAAUUGGACACCCAUUCGUUUAUACAUGGGGCCAGUUGUCGGGCCAACUUUCUAUGACAAAACCAGCACUCCACUGUCCAUCUUUUUGAAGAUCUUUGAUGAGGAGGUGUGGGAGUUCAUGCAGGCACAAGAACCCGACAAGCACAAGACACAAUGGCAAGAUGUGACAGCAGAGGAGCUGAAAUGUUACAUUGGUCUUGUUAUUGCCAUGGGCCUCGUCAAGAAACCUUGAGUGAAAGACUAUUGGCAGAAAGACUACGAAGCACUUGUGACAGGGAUAUCUCAGGUCAUUUCAAGAGACAGGUUUUUUGCCAUCUCAAGAUACUUACUAUGUAUGUGUGUGACAAGAUCAAUAAGCCAGCAUAUGAUUCCCCAUACUAUGACAAACUAUACAAAAUCCGAUUCGUAGGUGAACUUCUGACCCGCAAGCACCACCCAUUAUUCAACAUUGGGCCAGAAGUCACAAUCGACAAAGCGAAUGUGCCAUACAAAGGAAGGAUCGGAUUCAAACAAUAUAUGAGAGAUAAACCAACGAAAUGGGGAACCAAGGUCUGGACACUAAGCGAUGCCAAACUGGGUAUGUCUACCGCGAUAUUGUCUACACCGGUAAGAGCAUCGACGGCCUUCGGCAGGGUAGCCUGGGCAACAGAGUUGUCUGUGGCCUCCUUCGAGGAUUCGAAGGAUCAGGCCUCCGUGUUUACGCAGACAACUUUUACACAAGCCUCGAGCUGUGCCUUCAUUUUCUAGAUAAUGGAAUAUACUCAUGCCGUGCCAUCAGGAAGAACAGCAAGGGGUUUCCACCAGAGCUGCAACUGACUACGGCUCAGGAGAUUUGCACACAGAUGGGCACUAUCAACUGCAGGAGAUUCGGUUCUGUGUGUGACGUGGAUGGACAAACGGUUGGUGAGAGUGAUGUGUACUGUCCACCCUCUCAAAGAAAGCGAUCAGUGGUGUAAAUUACGACGAUACAGAGGACACAGCCCAACGAUUGCUGACUGCCUCGUCGCAGUUCAGGAUUACAACAUUUUUAUGAGAGAUGUGGAUAGGAGUGACCAACUGAUCACUCUCUACAAUGGGGUCUGGCGAACCAAGAAGUUGUGGAAACGGCUCGUUUAUCACGAUCUUGAGACGCAGCUCCUCAAUACAUUCAUGCUUUACAAGGCCAUCAUCAACCGAAAAGGGCCGUUUCUUCGCUUCAAAUUACAACUGGUUGAUCAAUUGACUAGAGGUAGAAGCUUUAGGAAAGGCAGGUGUAGACCAUACGUGUACCCUGUGACAACUCGGAUUGAUAGAAGUCGUGGGCACAUGCUUAAUUACAGAGAGAGCACGAAGCUGCAUUGCAAAGUGUGUUCACGGAAACUCCAGGAAGCUGGUUUCCUAUCAGACCGCACCACGAAGGUAACUACGUAUUGUAAUAUUUGUGAAGUAACUUUGUGUUCCAUGCCUAAGAGACAAUGUUUUUAAAAUAUCACACAAGAAAAAUACUGGUUAUUAUAAGUUGUCGUUGUUGUCGUUGUUGUUGUAGUCAUUGUUGUUGUUGUUGUUGUUGUUGUUGUUGUAGUCAUUGUUGUUGUGGUUGUUGUAUAUUUCUAAGUUGUUUGUGUUUCACCUAGUUUUUAUAGCUUUCAAGUGUUUUUGAAGUUUUCAAAUGUUGCUAUAAUUGAUAAUUUUUGUAAUCUUCAAAGUUAUCAGAGUUUCAUAUGUUCAGUAUA